rnacentral:rRNA from 1 species
GAUGAACGCUGGCGGCGUGCCUAAUACAUGCAAGUCGAGCGAACAGACGAGGAGCUUGCUCCUCUGACGUUACCAGCGGACGGGUGAGUAACACGUGGAUAACCUACCUCUAAGACUUGGGUAACUUCGGGAAACCGGAGCUACUACCGGAUAAUAUAUUUAACCGCAUGGUUCAAUAGUGAAAGACGGUUUUGCUGUCACUUAUAGAUGGAUCCGCGCCGCAUUAGCUAGUUGGUAAGGUAACGGCUUACCAAGGCAGCGAUGCGUAGCCGACCUGAGAGGGUGAAGCGCCACACUGGAACUGAGACACGGUCCAGACACUUACGGGAGGCAGAGGUAGGGACUCUUCCGCAAUGGGCGAAAGCUUGACGGAUCAACGCCGCCUUAGUGAUGAAGGGCUUCGGAUCGGAAAACUCUGUUAUUAGGGAAGAACAAAUGUGUAAGUAACUAUGCACGUCUUGACGGUACCUAAACAGAAAGCCACGGCUAACUACGUG